GAUGAAGAACGUAGCGAAAUGCGAUAAGUAAUGCGAAUUCCAGAAUUCAGUGAGUCAUCGAAUCUUUGAACGCACAUUGCGCCCUGUGGUAUUCCGCAGGGCAUGCCUGUUCGAGCGUCAUUUCAACCCUCAAGCUCUGCUUGGUGUUGGGCCCUGCCCGCUGCGGCCGGCCCUAAAGACAGUGGCGGUGCCGCCUGGCCCUGAGCGUAGUACAUCUCUCGCUCCAGUGCCCGGUGGUAGCCUGCCAGAACCCCAACUCUCGUGGUUGACCUCGGAUCAGGUAGGGAUACCCGCUGAACUUAAGCAUAUCAAUAAGCGGAGGA
rnacentral:misc_RNA from 1 species